rnacentral:tRNA from 1 species
GCUGGAGUUAUGGCUCAGUGGUAGAGCACUUGCCUAGCAUGUGUGAGGCUAUGGGUUCGAUUCUCAGCACUACAGCU